rnacentral:rRNA from 1 species
ACCAGCAGCUAUAUCACCCUACAAAUCAACUGGCAGCCCACUGAAGCUGCGCAGGUGUGAGCCUGGUCAGUACCUGGAUGGGUGACCUCCUGGGAAAGGUAAGAUUGCUGCUGGAA